GAAGCGGAACUUCCCGAAAUACCAGCAAGAUGUGAAGGAUUGGAAAGUUAAACCCAACCAUGCAGGUAUUUACACUAUCAUUUCUAAUAACUCACCCCAUUCUAAAUCUUGGGUCCUUGAUACCGGUUGUGGUAUUCAUAUUUGUUGUGACUUGCAGGGACUAAGAAGAAGUGAGAAUGUGGAGCAAGGAAGAAUAAACUUGAUCAUGGGGAAUAGGAAAGCUUUACCUGUUACCAAGAUUGGAGUUUAUACUUUAUCGCUAAGUAGUGGGUUUAAUUUAGAUUUGAAUAAAUGUUGUUAUUCGCCAGGAAUGGCAAGAAAUAUUAUUUCCUUUCAUGCUUUGUACAAACAAGGGUUUACCUUUUCAUUUAAUAAUGAAGUUGGUUCUAUAGAUGUUUUCUAUAAUAAUGUUUUUUAUUUUAAAGCAUUACCUUGUGAUGGUGUGUAUGAAGCUGUAUCUGUUGUAGAUAACUUGGGAAAUAAUGUUUUGUGUAUUGAUUCUACUAAUAAUAAUAACUUGGAUAAAGCAUCAUUAUGGCAUUGUCGUCUUGGACAUAUAAGCAAGAAACGCAUAGGCCAACUCCAAAAGGAUGGAGUCUUGGAGUCGUUUGACCUAAAGUCAGAUGAUAGUUGCGAAUCAUGCUUACUUGGAAAAAUGACAAAGUCACCCUUCACAGGCUCGUGUGAGAGGGGUGAAGGUUUGUUGGACCUUAUACACACGGAUGUGUGUGGACCAUUCAAACAUGCCACAAGGGAUGCUAAUCGUUAUUAUUUGACUUUUACUGAUGAUUAUAGUAGAUAUGGAUAUGUCUACUUGAUCAAGCAUAAGUCAGAGACUUUCGAGAGGUUUAAGGAAUUUAAACAGGAAGUCGAGAAUCAAUUGGGCAGGAACAUUAAGAUGCUUCGAUCCGAUCGUGGUGGUGAGUAUCUUAGUUCAGAGUUCCUCGACUAUCUAAGGGAAUGUGGGAUAGUCUCACAAUUGACACCUCCCAGGACACCACAGUUGAAUGGUGUGGCUGAGAGGCGUAAUCGAACCUUGUUGGAUAUGGUUCGUUCCAUGAUGAGUCGAGCUACGCUACCAAUCUCAUUCUGGGGGUAUGCCUUAGAGACUGCCGCCCAUAUUCUUAAUCUAGUCCCUACAAAGAAAGUUGCCAAAACUCCUCACGAGAUGUGGACUGGUAAAGUACCUAAACUAGACCACAUCAAGAUUUGGGGUUGCGAGGCUUUCGUGAGACGCGAGACUCAUGAUAAGCUCGAACCUCGAAGCGAGAGGUGUAUUUUCAUCGGUUACCCACAGCGAUCCUUUGGUUACCUCUUCUACAGACCUAGUGACAAUGUGGUCUUUGUAGCAAGAAGAGGAGUCUUUCGAGAAAGAGAGUUUAUAAGCCAAGGAGACAGUGGGAGGCAAAUUGAUCUUGAAGAAAUUCAAGAAUCAAGCGGUGAAGGAACUUCAAACUCUAGCCCUCAACUUGAGGAGGAAACUCCUGUUGAGCCAAUUGACAAAUCUGUACCUCUGAGACGUUCCACGAGAGUUAGGAGUGCACCUGAGCAUUACUAUGGAUUCCAUAUUACUGCAGAAGGUGAGACACUUAUUAGUGAUGAGACACUAGUAAGUCAAGAUGACCCUAACAGCUACGAGGAAGCCAUGGCAGGCCCCGAGUCUGCUAAAUGGAAAGAGGCUAUGGAUAGCGAGAUACAAUCCAUGUAUGACAAUCAAGUUUGGAACUUGGUUGAAAAUGUACCAGGUCGUAAGACAGUAGGGUGCAAAUGGGUCUUCAAGAAGAAGACCGACAUGGAUGGUAAAGUACACACUUAUAAGGCUAGACUGGUUGCAAAGGGCUUCUCUCAAAUUCCUGGAGUGGAUUAUGAUGAGACCUUUUCUCCGGUAGCCAAGAUUAAGUCUAUUCGGGUUCUGUUAGCCAUAGCUGCAUUUCAUGACUAUGAAAUAUGGCAGAUGGAUGUCAAAACCGCUUUCCUUAAUGGAAAGUUGGCUGAAGAUGUUUACAUGAGUCAGCCAGAGGGUUUUGUCAGCAACGAGUACCCUAAUAGAGUGUGUAAGCUUGAGAAAUCCAUUUAUGGAUUGAAGCAAGCACCUCGCAGAUGGAAUCUUUGCUUUGAUGAAAAGGUCAAGGAAUUUGGCUUUUCUAGGAGUGAAGAUGAAUCUUGUGUGUAUGUCAAGGCUAGUGGGAGUAUAGUUAGCUUUUUGGUAUUGUAUGUGGAUGACAUACUACUCAUAGGAAACGACAUUCCAACCCUGCAGGAAGUAAAGUCCUGGCUUGGGAAGUGUUUCGCUAUGAAGGACCUUGGUGAAGCUGCCUAUAUUCUAGGGAUAAGAAUCUUGAGAGAUCGGAGUAAAAGACUAAUUGGACUUAGUCAGAGUACCUACUUGGAUAAGGUGCUGAAGAGAUUCAGCAUGCAGGAUUCCAAGAAAGGAGAGUUACCCAUCCAGAGUAACACCAGAUUGAGUAAGACACAAAGCCCUAGCACUGAGGCUGAGAUAGCAGAAAUGAGUCGAACACCUUACGCUUCGGCUGUAGGAUCGAUCAUGUAUGCUAUGACGUGUACUCGACCCGAUGUAGCUUUUGCCUUGAGCAUGGUUAGCAGGUAUCAGGCGAACCCUGGCAAGGCACACUGGACUGCGGUAAAGAAUAUCCUCAAGUACCUACGGAGGACUAAGGACUGGGUCCUUACCCUCGGUGGGAGUGAUGACUUGAGAGUUGUAGGGUAUAGUGAUGCUAGCUUCCAGACUGAUAGGGAUAAUUUCCGCUCUCAGUCGGGCUGGGUCUUUACCCUAAACGGAGGAGCAAUUUCUUGGAAGAGUUCCAAGCAAGAGACAGUGGCAGAUUCUACUUGUGAAUCAGAGUAUAUUGCAGCUAGCGAAGCAGCAAAGGAGGCGAUAUGGCUGAAGAACUUCAUUGGAGACCUUGGAGUUGUACCAGCUAUUAAAGAGCCAAUGGAAAUUUUCUGUGAUAGUGAAAGUGCUGUUGCCUUAGCCAAGGAACCAAGGGAUCAUGGGAGAUCCAGACACAUCGACAGAAAAUACCAUUUCAUUAGACAUCGGAUCGAAGAAGGACUCCUCGUGGCAAAGAGGGUAUCAUCGGAUGAGAACCCAGCAGAUCCCCUCACGAAGGGACUGAGUAGGGUUAAGCAUCUCCAGCAUGCUCGGAGCAUAGGGCUGAAGGAUGAUAUAAGUUUUAGUAGUUAGAUAACCCAGAAAUUUGUAAAGUGUAAUUGACAUUUGAUGAUGAAUAAAAGGUGUUUUAUUUAUGAGUAAAGUGUUGCUAUCUCUUGUCAAUCGUUUACUAUAUUUCUUUUGCAUGUUUUGACUUCCAGAAUAAUUUUGUUUGGUGUAACAUAUUAUUCAAACCUCCACAGUCGGUCAUAUGUCGGAAGUAGGUAUGAAUCAAGACUGUCAUGAUGGGUUGUAGAGGUCUAAGGUGUUGGACAAGGCUACAACAAUCAUGAGUGCUCAUAAGUUCUGAGCAUUGGACUCAACCCACGCUCACUGGAAUCACUUCAUGGAAUUCUAUCUCGAGUGAUCGUGAGACGGUAAUAUCAUAUAAGUCUUCAAACCUAGAGAUAUGAUUUGUUACUUACAAGUUGGUUAUGCAUUGACUGUACGAAACCGCAUUGGUAACUCGAUGUUAUAAAACGUACUUUUGUGUGUAAUUCAAUGAGUGGUAGAACAAACAUAUGAGUCGAAGUUUAUCUGUUCCUUCUUGGAUUAGAAGCUGAUAUCUGGGCCCCUCGAUGAUUUUGUUUUGACCCAUGUACCGGGCCCGGUCAGAACUAAGUUGAUGUGUUCAAUUAAGUUCUAUGUCAAACAAAUCGGAAAUCGGGAAACAAAUGCUGGACAAUAAGCAAGACAAUGUUCCAUGUAUUUGUCCGGCUGAUAUCUAGAACGGAGGAUUAUAUGAUCACUUAUCUUAAAUGGCGUACCAUCAUCUUCUCAGUUCCGAGAGACCUUGAAAGAGCUACGAUUGCCGGUCGGUUCCUGAAGUACUAGAGAUAUAGUUAUUAGACUUAUCCAAGUGGGAGACUGUUGGAUAAGGUGUCUAAGUCCAUAACUAUUUCGGGCUUGUACUUGACCCGACCCGGCAUGGUCCAUUUGGGUUGCAUGGCACCAUGCAAUUGGAUAGACUAAAUGAGAGAAAUAACACUUGGAGAUUAUUAAUAUAUUAUAAGUUCUAAUAUAUUAAUAAUAUUAUUUGAUUAGUUGAUCAAAGAAUUAAUUUGGAAUUAAUUAAGUGAUCAAAGGAUAACUAAUUAAAUAUAUGGGUUGAUUAUGUAAAUCAUCCAUAUCUUGUAUAGUGGGCUAAGAGGCUCCAUGGAUUAUCAAGUUGGGUUCUACCCAUAGGAUGCUCCAUGGAUGCUCCAUGGGAGUUACAAACCCAUGGGUCAUGGAAAUGAAGAGUCAUGACACAUUAGGGUUUACAUGGUGUAACCCUAGAUGUGUCAACACUAUAUAAGAAUCAUAUUCUCCACCAAAAUCGGCUACACUAAGAAACUAGAGGGCUUGGCCGAUUUUGAGAAGUGUGUGUUAUCUCAAGAGUCUUUCCAAGAGCAUUUGGUGUUGUGUGAAGCAUUUGAGGCAUCACACUUGGGGUGCUAGGCUCACAAGGUUUCAAGGAACACAAGCAACAACAAGGUAAGUUAUUCUAUCUAUGAUUCAAGUUAAAAUUGUUCCCCAUGUAUGCUAGAUAGGAAUAUAACCUUGGAAUUCAACUUUGCAUGAUAAUUAGACAAACAUAGAUCCAAGGUUAUUAGGGUUGCAUGUACACUUAGGAAGUGUUAGAAUGCUCAAAACCCAUCAGUGGUAUCAGAGCCUAGGCUUGUUUGUUUGUUAUUUGUGCUUAAAAGUUGAAGAAAGUCGAAAAUCUUGCUGUCUGACUGAUGGACUCGGCGAGUCCAUGGGGAGGACUCGUCGAGUUCAUGUGUAUCUUCAACCUACUCGGCGAGUAGGUUUAUGCACUCGGCGAGUAGGGUCGACAGAGUGCAGAAUUUCGACUUGAGUUGCUGGAAAUGGAUUAGAAUCAUUACCCUAAAAUGUUUUGGUACUUGAAAACUUAUUUUAGAAGGUGUAAUGUCUUUUCUAACUCAUUUACAACAACUAGUUAUCAAAAUUACAAAGAUUAAAUGUGAUUUUGAUUCUUGAAAGUGUUCAUAUUCAUAUUCUUGUUCUUAUGAUGUUUAGAUGAUCAUAGGAAUUAUUUGUAACCUAUGUGGUAGAUUAAUUCAUGAUCAUAAUGUGUUUUAAUGGAGUCCAUAACUUGUCCUCAAGUUAUGGAAAACCAAAAGUCUCUUGGAUUAAAAACCAUUAAAAGAACACAAGAGUUAGGAAAAAUGAAAAGUCCUCAUUUUAUUACUCUAUUAAACUCAUAAGUUACAAGAAAUGAAAAGUUUUGAAAGUUUACAAAACUUGCCCUCAAGUUUUGGAACAAGUAAAGUUAAGUUAAAACUUUAGUUCCAACCCCUAGAAUUUUAAAAGUUAAAAUUCAACCCUUAUACUUAUAUUAUUAUGAUUUAAUAAUUAUAUAUAUAUGUAUAAGAACAAAGUCGUCUUACCGCUAGUACGCCUCAUUCACGAAGCCGGUCUAUAAGGUGGGUAUAAGGUUGUUGCCUAUAAAAUGGUGACUUAAUGGGUGUCCACUCUCACCCACCGCUUGCUUGAUCGGUGGAGGGUCGUUAGCCGAACGGGUAAGACAAGGACUUAUUAAUUCUCAUUCAAAGUAUGAUGAAUAUUAUAAAGUAACUAAAUGUUUUAUUAAAUUCCCAAUCUUAGUUACUUUAGGAAAAAUGUGAAUAAGGUGCUAUUCCAUGAAAUUACACUUUACACUUUGAUUAAGUCGUUGGUGGAGCGUGUGUGGUUAACCGGCACACUAACUUGGACUUAACAAGGUAGGUAAAGGGUGACUUAGGGUUUAUUAUAGUAUCGAUGGAGCGUGUGUGGUUAACCGGCACAUCGAUUGAGUGAUAAACUUUAAGGGUACCAAGUGAUUUGCAUGGUUACUUCACACCUCGUUUUGUGAUCCUCGGUAUCCCAGUCACAAAACUUGGAGGGCACACUCGAGAUUGAAACAUGCCUUUGAAAAGUUCAUUGAAUCUCAAAGAAUCUAGGAAUUUCUAAGAACCAUUCAAAAACCUAAUACUAAAAUAUUGCGGUUUUCGUGGUGGAAAUUGGUGAAUCGUCAUUCACCUACCUUUCAAAUAUGAUAUAGCUUAGAUUACGGCAUACCUCUUCUAAGUUAUAUUAUAUUGUGAUUGGAUCCUAGCCUUAAUAUUACAUUUGGGUGUUUUAUUAAGGACUCUCUUAUAUCUAAACUAAUCUUGUCCUCUUUCCUUCAGAUGUCUUUCAACAAUGCUUCUGGCUCUAAUCCUAAUGGCUCCUUUACCCUUAUGAACUUGUGUGGGAAAGUCACCUUUGAUGGAUCCAACUUCAAUGAGUGGAUCAGAAACAUCAGGAUGAUUACCCGCUACGAGGACAAAGAAUAUGUCCUUGACAAGGAGCUUAAGGAGAUUGAUGAGUCCACUGCAACUCCUCAGGAGAUCGCUGAAUUUCGGGCACAUGAAAGGGAUGCUACGAAAGUGGCUUGCAUCAUGAUGGCCACGAUGACAGCGGAACUCCAAAAGUCUUAUGAGGAUUUCUACCCUUAUGAAAUGCACCAAGAUUUGAUGGAAAGAUACCAUCAAAGUGCAAGACAAGAGAGGUAUGAAAUCAUCUGCUCCAUGAUAACAACCAUGAUGAAGGACGGGGAAUCCGUCACGAGCCACAUGCAGAAAAUGCAAAGGUAUGUGGAUCGUUUGCUGAAGCUUAAUGUGAACUUCCCGGAGGAUCUUGCAAUAGAUAUUAUUUUGCAUUCCUUACCAUCGUGCUAUGAUCAAUUCCGCAUGACAUAUCACAUGAACAAGGAAGAAGUCACCCUCAGCAAACUUCAGGGACUUCUCAAGACCGCAGAAUCAGGUCUUAAGGGGAAGUCGGUUGCUAUCACUCCUACUCAAAACUCUACUCCGGUUUUGGCAAUCGGGAAAAGUCGAGGGAGGAAGAGAAAGAGCUCUUCUAAGGGUACCAAGGUUCGGACCCUUGAUGGCUCUUCUUCAAGUGGAACCAAGAAAGGUUUCAUUACUCCUUCUUCUGACCCAAAAGAGGCUGAAUGCUUCUAUUGCCAUGAAAAAGCUCAUUGGAAGCGGAACUGCCCAAAAUACCAGCAAGAUGUGAAGGAUGGGAAAGUUAAACCCAACCAUGCAGGUAUUUACACUAUCAUUUCUAAUAACUCACCCCAUUCUAAUUCUUGGGUCCUUGAUACCGGGUGUGGUAUUCACAUUUGUUGUGACUUGCAGGGACUAAGAAGAAGUGAGGAUGUGGAGCAAGGAAGGAUAAACUUGAUCAUGGGGAAUAGGAAAGCUAUACCUGUUACCAAGAUUGGAGUUUAUACUUUAUCGCUAAGUAGUGGGUUUAGUUUAGAUUUGAAUAAGUGUUGUUAUUCGCCAGGAAUGGCAAGAAAUAUUAUUUCCUUUCAUGCUUUGUACAAACAAGGGUUUACCUUUUCAUUUAAUAAUGAAGUUGGUUCUAUAGAUGUUUUCUAUAAUAAUGUCUUUUAUUUUAAAGCAUUACCUUGUGAUGGUGUGUAUGAAGCUGUAUCUGUUGUAGAUAACUUGGGAAAUAAUGUUUUGUGUAUUGAUUCUACUAAUAAUAACUUGGAUAAAGCAUCUUUAUGGCAUUGUCGUCUUGGACAUAUAAGCAAGAAACGCAUAGGCCAACUCCAAAAGGAUGGAGUCUUGGAGUCGUUUGAC
rnacentral:lncRNA from 1 species